rnacentral:rRNA from 1 species
AUAUGUGUGGGGUCUCUCCCCUUAGAUUGACGCUAGCGGGAUGCUUUACACAUGCAAGUCGAACGGCAGCACGAGAGAGCUUGCUCUCUUGGUGGCGAGUGGCGGACGGGUGAGUAAUAUAUCGGAACGUGCCCAGUAGCGGGGGAUAACUACUCGAAAGAGUGGCUAAUACCGCAUACGCCCUACGGGGGAAAGGGGGGGAUUCUUCGGAACCUCUCACUAUUGGAGCGGCCGAUAUCGGAUUAGCUAGUUGGUGGGGUAAAGGCCUACCAAGGCGACGAUCCGUAGCUGGUUUGAGAGGACGACCAGCCACACUGGGACUGAGACACGGCCCAGACUCCUACGGGAGGCAGCAGUGGGGAAUUUUGGACAAUGGGGGAAACCCUGAUCCAGCCAUCCCGCGUGUGUGAUGAAGGCCUUCGGGUUGUAAAGCACUUUUGACAGGGAAGAAAUAGCAGAGGCUAAUAUCCUUUGUGAAUGACGGUACCUGUAGAAUAAGCACCGGCUAACUACGUGCCAGCAGCCGCGGUAAUACGUAGGGUGCAAGCGUUAAUCGGAAUUACUGGGCGUAAAGGGUACGCAGGCGGCUAGGAAAGAAAGAUGUGAAAUCCCAGGGCUCAACCUUGGAACUGCAUUUUUAACUACCUGGCUAGAGUAUGUCAGAGGGGGGUAGAAUUCCACGUGUAGCAGUGAAAUGCGUAGAGAUGUGGAGGAAUACCGAUGGCGAAGGCAGCCCCCUGGGAUAAUACUGACGCUCAGGUACGAAAGCGUGGGGAGCAAACAGGAUUAGAUACCCUGGUAGUCCACGCCCUAAACGAUGUCAACUAGCUGUUGGGGCCGUUAGGCCUUAGUAGCGCAGCUAACGCGUGAAGUUGACCGCCUGGGGAGUACGGUCGCAAGAUUAAAACUCAAAGGAAUUGACGGGGACCCGCACAAGCGGUGGAUGAUGUGGAUUAAUUCGAUGCAACGCGAAAAACCUUACCUACGCUUGACAUGUCUGGAAUCCUGAAGAGAUUUAGGAGUGCCCGCAAGGGAACCGGAACACAGGUGCUGCAUGGCUGUCGUCAGCUCGUGUCGUGAGAUGUUGGGUUAAGUCCCGCAACGAGCGCAACCCUUGUCACUAGUUGCUACGCAAGAGCACUCUAGUGAGACUGCCGGUGACAAACCGGAGGAAGGUGGGGAUGACGUCAAGUCCUCAUGGCCCUUAUGCGUAGGGCUUCACACGUCAUACAAUGGUCGGGACAGAGGGUCGCCAACCCGCGAGGGGGAGCUAAUCUCAUAAACCCGAUCGUAGUCCGGAUCGCAGUCUGCAACUCGACUGCGUGAAGUCGGAAUCGCUAGUAAUCGCGGAUCAGAAUGCCGCGGUGAAUACGUUCCCGGGUCUUGUACACACCGCCCGUCACACCAUGGAAGUGGGUUUCACCAGAAGUAGGUAGUCUAACCGUAAGGAGGACGCUUACCACGGUGGGAUUCAUGACUGGGGUGAAGUCGUAGGAAAUACAAAAAAAAAACCCCCCCCAAGAUUUUUAGCGCCGGGAGGGUGAAUAUACCCCGGGG